AUUGAACGCUGGCGGAAUGCUUUACACAUGCAAGUCGAACGGCAGCACGGACUUCGGUCUGGUGGCGAGUGGCGAACGGGUGAGUAAUAUAUCGGAACGUAUCCAAUAAUGGGGGAUAACUAGUCGAAAGAUUGGCUAAUACCGCAUACGCCCUACGGGGGAAAGCAGGGGAUCUUCGGACCUUGCGUUAAUGGAGCGGCCGAUAUCUGAUUAGCUAGUUGGUGGGGUAAAGGCCCACCAAGGCGACGAUCAGUAGCUGGUCUGAGAGGACGACCAGCCACACUGGAACUGAGACACGGUCCAGACUCCUACGGGAGGCAGCAGUGGGGAAUUUUGGACAAUGGGCGCAAGCCUGAUCCAGCCAUUCCGCGUGAGAGAAGAAGGCCUUCGGGUUGUAAAGCUCUUUCGCAAGGGAAGAAAACUUAGCCACUAACAUUGGCUGAGGUUGACGGUACCUUGAUAAGAAGCACCGGCUAACUACGUGCCAGCAGCCGCCGUAAUAC
rnacentral:rRNA from 1 species